rnacentral:rRNA from 1 species
CCUACGGGGGGCAGCAGUGGGGAAUAUUGCACAAUGGGGGAAACCCUGAUCCAGCGACGCCGCGUGAGUGAAGAAGUAAUUCGGUAUGUAAAGCUCUAUCAGCAGGGAAGAAAAUGACGGUACCUGAGUAAGAAGCCCCGGCUAACUACGUUCCAGCAGCCGCGGUAAUACGUCGGGGGCAGGCGUUAUCCGGAUUUACUGGGUGUAAAGGGAGCGUAGGCGGAAGUGCAAGUCUGGAGUGAAAGGCGGGGGCUCAACCCCCGGACUGCUCUGGAAACUGUACGGCUGGAGUGCAGGAGAGGUAAGUGGAAUGCCUGGUGUAGCGGUGAAAUGCGUAGAUAUUAGGAGGAACACCAGUGGCGAAGGCGGCUUACGGGACUGUAACUGACGUUGAGGCUCGAAAGCGUGGGGAGCAAACAGGAUUAGAUACCCGAGUAGUC